UAUCAAUAAGCGGAGGAAAAGAAACCAACAGGGAUUGCCUCAGUAACGGCGAGUGAAGCGGCAACAGCUCAAAUUUGAAAUCUGGCUCCUCUAGGGGUCCGAGUUGUAAUUUGUAGAGGAUGCUUCGGGUAAGGCGGCGGUCUAAUUUGCUUGGAACAGCGAGUCACAGAGGGUGAGAGUCCCGUCUAGGACCGUGCGCCGCGUCCGUGUGAAGCUCCUUCGACGAGUCGAGUUGUUUGGGAAUGCAGCUCUAAAUGGGUGGUAAAUUUCAUCUAAAGCUAAAUAUUGGCCAGAGACCGAUAGCGCACAAGUAGAGUGAUCGAAAGAUGAAAAGCACUUUGAAAAGAGAGUUAAACAGUAUGUGAAAUUGUUGAAAGGGAAGCGCUUGCAACCAGACUUGCGUGUGACGGUUCCCCCCACCUUCUGGUGGGGCUACUCCGUUAUCUCCAGGCCAGCAUCGGUUUGGGUGGUCGGUUAAAGACCCUGGGAAUGUAUCUACCUUCGGGUCGACUUAUAGCCCGGGGUGCAAUGCGGCCCACCCGGACCGAGGAACGCGCUUCGGCCCGGAUGCUGGCGUAAUGGUUGCAAGCGGCCCGUCUUGAAACACGGACCAAGGAGUCUAACAUCUAUGCGAGUGUUUGGGUGUCAAACCCCUACGCGUAAUGAAAGUGAACGGAGGUAAGAACCCCGCAAGGGGCGCAUUAUCGACCGAUCCUGAUGUCUUCGGAUGGAUUUGAGUAAGAGCAUAGCUGUUGGGACCCGAAAGGUAUGUCGCUCUUUUACACUUUCCUCUGGAACCUCCGUCUUAAAUUGUAUAUGCUAACUGAUACUUGUCGACAGAUGGUGAACUAUGCCUGAAUAGGGUGAAGCCAGAGGAAACUCUGGUGGAGGCUCGCAGCGGUUCUGACGUGCAAAUCGAUCGUCAAAUUUGGGCAUAGGGGCGAAAGUAAGACUUCUCUGCCUAUUGUCAUCGUUGAAUUUAAUGCUAACUAUUAUGUAGGACCAAUCGAACCAUCUGGUAGCUGGUUCCUGUCGAAGUUUCCCUCAGGAUAGCAGUAACGUUUUCAGUUUUAUGAGGUAAAGCGAAUGAUUAGAGGCCUUGGGGUUGAAACAACCUUAACCUAUUCUCAAACUUUAAAUAUGUAAGAAGUCCUUGUUGCUUAAUUGAACGUGGACAUUUGAAUGUAUCGUUACUAGUGGGCCAUUUUUGGUAAGCAGAACUGGCGAUGCGGGAUGAACCGAACGUGAGGUUAAGGUGCCGGAAUGUACGCUCAUCAGACACCACAAAAGGUGUCAAUGCAUCCAGACAGCCGGACGGUGGCCAUGGAAGUCGGAAUCCGCUUAGGAGUGUGUAAUAACUCACCGGCCGAAUGCAUUGGCCCUGAAAAUGGAUGGCGCUUAAGCGUGCUACCUAUACCUCGCCGUUGGGGUUGAAAUGAUGCCCCAACGAGUAGGCAGGCGUGGGGGUUGGUGACGAAGCCUUUGGGGUGACCCUGGGUCGAACAACCUCUAGUG
rnacentral:rRNA from 1 species